UUUGCGGUCAUGUUUACGUUUGCUGUCUCGUGUGCUGUCAAGAGUAAUAGGACAAAAAUCUGUGGCAUCCGGAGCAGCGUGAGAGACGGGAGUACGUUCUCCCAUCUGGUGAGGUGAAGUACCUUGAUCCCUCGGUUUGUCCUGGUGACAUCGUUAAAGGAGGUCCCAGCCACAUCCUUUCAUGUGAGGUUUCCAUAGAUCCGGAGAUCCUU